CAAAUAGUAAUGUUAACAAUGCUAAUAUGUACCAUUCAACAUCCAAAAUUAAUAUCAAAACAAUUCACCAUACAAUAACUUCACACAUACCUAGAUCCCUUCCUAAAUCAAGAUAGUUCAUCACACUAAAAUGCCAAAGCCUAAUACUUAUUAAAUUCAAAUCACAUGUGUACAAUAGCACCAUACUAUACAUCCCUUUCCUAAAUUGCAUCACUAAUAUUGUCAUCAAAAUCAAGACAGUUCGCAAGAUCUAAGAGCUCCUAUAUAGCAACUUACCAAAACUUAAGCUAAACAAUGUACAACGUCAAAUAAGAGAGAAACCCGGCCUCGCUCCUAAAUAGCUGCAGUCUCUUUUUUUUUGGGGGGGGGGAGCACAGUACCCUACUCAAUGUGAAGCUGCAGACAUAAGAGACAAAUUAGUGAAUGGGAUUAGUGAUAUUUCUAACACCAAAAGAAUAGAAUAAUCCUGGAGAGAAGGAAAAGAGCUUGAGUUUGCUUACCUAUGAUCAAGAAUGGUUGGAUAGGGGAAAGAACAACACACACAGGCAGAGCACGCUGCUGUCCUCGCUAGGCGAUGAUGCUUCUCGCUAGACGAGCUGUUCAGUAACAGAAACGCAGCUUUUGCUGCCACUCCACUUGUUCUUAAACAACCCUUAACUUUCUUCUACCUUAGAUCCAGGUUUGAAUUUGUCUUUCUCCUUCUUGAAAACAUCCAGGUUUGAAUUUGUCUUUCUCCUUCAACAAGGUUUAAAAAUCCUGAAAACA
rnacentral:lncRNA from 1 species